GCUGUGAUGGCCGAGUGGUUAAGGUGUUGGACUUGAAAUCCAAUGGGGUUCCCCCGUGUGGGUUUGAAUCCCCCUCGCAGCG